GUACACUCCUGCGGGAGGCAGCAGUGGGGAAUUUUGGACAAUGGGCGAAAGCCUGAUCCAGCAAUGCCGCGUGAGUGAAGAAGGCCUUCGGGUUGUAAGCUCUUUUGUCAGGGAAGAAACGGUGAAAGCUAAUAUCUUUUGCUAAUGACGGUACCUGAAGAAUAAGCACCGGCUAACUACGUGCCAGCAGCCGCGGUAAUACGUAGGGUGCAAGCGUUAAUCGGAAUUACUGGGCGUAAAGCGUGCGCAGGCGGUUUUGUAAGUCUGAGGUGAAAUCCCCGGGCUCAACCUGGGAAUUGCAGUGGAGACAGCAAGGCUAGAAUCUGGCAGAGGGGGGUAGAAUUCCACGUGUAGCAGUGAAAUGCGUAGAUAUGUGGAGGAACACCGAUGGCGAAGGCAGCCCCCUGGGUCAAGAUUGACGCUCAUGCACGAAAGCGUGGGGAGCAAACAGGAUUAGAAACCCGAGCAGUCCCA
rnacentral:rRNA from 1 species